UAUAAGGGAUUUUGAGUUUUUCUUGUAACGUUUGACUACUCGUCUUAUUUAAAUUUUUUUAAAAUUAUUAUUUAUUUUAUUUGUGACUUACUUUAUUAUCCACAGUAUUUUAAGCACAACUUUUUAUUUUUUAUAUUUACAAAAAAAAAUUAAAUAAGACGAGUAGUCAAACGUUGCAAACAAAAACUCA
rnacentral:pre_miRNA from 1 species